GACGUAGGGCGCGAGCGUUGUCCGGAUUUAUUGGGCGUAAAGAGCUCGUAGGCGGCUUGUCGCGUCGUCCGUGAAAACCUGGGGCUCAACCCCAGGCUUGCGGUCGAUACGGGCAGGCUCGAGUUCGGUAGGGGAGACUGGAAUUCCUGGUGUAGCGGUGAAAUGCGCAGAUAUCAGGAAGAACACCCGUGGCGAAGGCGGCUCUCUGGGACGGUACUGACGCUGAGACGCGAAAGCGUGGGGAGCGAACAGG
rnacentral:rRNA from 1 species